UACAGAGGGGGCAAGCGUUGUUCGGAAUUACUGGGCGUAAAGGGCGCGUAGGCGGCCUGCUAAGUCGAACGUGAAAUCCCCGGGCUCAACCCGGGAACUGCGUCCGAUACUGGCAGGCUUGAAUCCGGGAGAGGGAUGCGGAAUUCCAGGUGUAGCGGUGAAAUGCGUAGAUAUCUGGAGGAACACCGGUGGCGAAGGCGGAUCUCUGGGCCUUGCCUGACGCUGAGGCGCGAAAGCUAGGGGAGCGAACAGG
rnacentral:rRNA from 1 species